GAAAUGCGAUAAGUAGUGUGAAUUGCAGAAUUCAGUGAAUCAUCGAAUCUUUGAACGCACAUUGCGCCCCUUGGUAUUCCAUGGGGCAUGCCUGUUCGAGCGUCAUUUGUACCCUCAAGCUCUGCUUGGUGUUGGGUGUUUGUCCCCGUCUCCGCGCGUGGACUCGCCCCAAAGUGAUUGGCAGCCGGCGUACUGGUCCCGGAGCGCAGCACAUGUCGCGCAAACGAGUGCCUUGGUACGGCGGCGUCCAUAAGCCCCUCUCUCACGCUCUCGACCUCGGAUCAGGUAGGGAUACCCGCUGAACUUAAGC
rnacentral:misc_RNA from 1 species